UGAACGUAACGGAAUCCUCAAAAUGCGUUUCAGAUGUCUGGACUGGUCAGGUGGUUCAUUAACAUACAGCCCGCAGAGUGUCGCUGCAUUCUUUGUGGCAUGUUGUGUUUUACACAACAUAGCUUUACGCCAUGGAUGACACUAUGACCUCACCGAGGACACAUUACUGGACAUUAGACAGAGAGAGGCCGAAUUGCAUGUGCCAUGUCAGCAGGGAGAGCAGCAGAGCGCACAAGAGAGGAGGGACCGCCUCGCAGCACAGCUCUACCCUUAAAUGUGAGUAUUUGCUUUCAUUCAUUUAUACACUUGAUUUGUAAUUAUCCACAUUAAAACAUCCAAUAAAUAGUCAAACAUGAUUGCGUUAACAGGUGUUUUAUUGUUCUCCCCUCCCCAUUACCCUUCUUCUUCUUUCUUCCUCCUCUUGUGUCUGGACGCUGCGCGCAGUCCGUCAACCCAGGGGGCUGCCCCCAUCUUGUGCGCAGCCUCAGCGGCCACCUGGGACAGACGGGGGUGGAUGAUUGUGCAGAUGGCAGCAGCCAUUCUGCUACCUGGACCAGUCGAUCGAGUGUGGCAACACCAGAGGCUAGGGGGAGCAGGCUGUCCUGGAACAUCUCCUGUAGUGACUUCAAUUGGGCCUCCAGGGACCCAAGCCUCGCCCCCAUCGAACCCAGCUCCCUCUCCAACAUGUGAAACCCAGCCCGCUGGAUCUACAGGAAGGGAAGGUCCUCCUCCUGGACCUGGAUGCGUCUCCGACCCCGUGUUGCUGGCUUGGGUCUGUGUUCUUCCCCCUCCUGCGUCUCCGGCACCGGCUCCCCCUGGUCCUCCUCGCCCUCGUCAUCGUUGUCAUCGUCGUCAUCCUCCUCCUCCUCCUCCUCCCUGACCUCCUGCUCCUGCUGCUGCUCCUCCUCUCAGGUGUGGUGCUGCUGCCGCAACAGUGGCAAUUCUGCUGAGGCUGACCAGAAAUUUUAUUUUCGUUAAUGAUAGUAAUUCAUUUUUUUAAAUGUAACACAAUACUUUCAUUCAUAAUAAAGAAGUUAUAAAUUGUGUGAGCCAAGUUCAUUUCACAUGCAAACAUUAGCGGAAAGGGAGAAAAUACAAUCAGGCUUUGUUUGAUCCGUCCUUUACGCACAGGUCAUUCCGAUUUCAAUCUCAUUACCCAAGGCCCUUUUUUUUUUUAGAUCACCUGUGCACACAACACACCUUUGUAACACGUGGUUAAAUAUACAUGAUGUUACUGUCUUUAUUUGCGGAAAAGAAUGUUUGUCUUACUCGUGAGUCCAACCUCAGAGACACCAAACCCCUCAAUACUGAUUUAGGGGAGUGUGGAGGAUGCCAUGUCCUCGGCAGGGCUCAGAGACACCAUCGAUGAGGGGCCGCCUCCGGUCGUUGCUGUCUGGCGACGGUGUUGAGAUAAUUUUAGUUUAGCCCGUCGUCUAACAUCAUUGAACCACUUUUUGCAUUGCUCAGC